rfam:Oryza glumipatula chromosome 2, whole genome shotgun sequence.
UUUAAGUGUAACUAUGAGUUUUCACGUUAAACUUUGAUCGUCCGUCUUAUUUAAAUUUUUUUUAUAAUUAGUAUUUGUUGUUAUGAGAUAAUAAAACAUGAAUAGUACUUUACUCGUGACUUAUGCUUUUAAUUAUUUUUUUUCAAAUAAGACGAACGAUCAAAGUUGGGCGCGGAAAACCAUGACUGCACUUAAA